GACAGAGGGUGCAAACGUUGCUCGGAAUCACUGGGCGUAAAGCGCACGUAGGCGGCUUUGUAAGUUAGAGGUGAAAGCCCGGGGCUCAACUCCGGAAUUGCCUUUAAGACUGCAUCGCUAGAAUUGUGGAGAGGUAAGUGGAAUUCCGAGUGUAGAGGUGAAAUUCGUAGAUAUUCGGAAGAACACCAGUGGCGAAGGCGACUUACUGGACACAUAUUGACGCUGAGGUGCGAAAGCGUGGGGAGCAAACAGG
rnacentral:rRNA from 1 species